CUUUGACCGCAGUCAGGACUGGUUUUAGGCUAUACGUUGUCUAAAGGGGAUCGAUUUUACGAUGUUAUUUGAAUCGUAAACAAAAUCUAUCUUUAUUCCGCGAGAGUUUUAAUGCUUCUAAGGUUUUUUCCUAAAAAAAAUUCCGUUUGAACGUGAAGUGAAAUUGCAUUUCAUAAGUUCUUCUGCGUGUUAUUUCUUACCAAGUAUUCCACGCUGCUGGAAAUAGGUGUACCAGAGAAUUAGCGGAAGUGAAAGAUAGUGUUUUUUCACGGUGGCAAAAUAUAUAACAGUGAAUAAUAAUAGUGGAAAAAUAAAGAUAUAAAAAGCUGCUUGAGUGAGUGUGUCACACAAGCGCAAGAAAGAAAUAGCAGUAGUGCGCCACGCAAACCAUGUGCAGUGACUACGAGUUGUGGAUUUGACUAGUGCUACUGCAACUAAUCGGCCUUAUCGUGGAUCCGCUGCAAAUAUUUUGGGUUCUGACGAACAGCACUUAUUUAGUUUCUAAAUUCAUCAAAACAGGGGUCGGUGACAAAAACGAAUACCCACUCUAUUUCGAGAAGGUUAUCUAUGAGGUGGACAUCGACGAGAAUGUGGAAAUCAAUCAGAACUUUCUCAACGUCAGCGCAAAGACGUACA